AUUGAACGCUGGCGGCAGGCUUAACACAUGCAAGUCGAGCGGAGAUGAGGUGCUUGCACCUUAUCUUAGCGGCGGACGGGUGAGUAAUGCUUAGGAAUCUGCCUAUUAGUGGGGGACAACAUUCCGAAAGGAAUGCUAAUACCGCAUACGUCCUACGGGAGAAAGCAGGGGAUCUUCGGACCUUGCGCUAAUAGAUGAGCCUAAGUCGGAUUAGCUAGUUGGUGGGGUAAAGGCCUACCAAGGCGACGAUCUGUAGCGGGUCUGAGAGGAUGUUCCGCCACACUGGGACUGAGAAAAGGGCCAGACUCCUACGGGAGGCAGCAGUGGGGAAUAUUGGACAAUGGGGGGAACCCUGAUCCAGCCAUGCCGGGUGUGUGAAGAAGGCCUUAUGGUUGUAAAGCACUUUAAGCGAGGAGGAGGCUACUGAGACUAAUACUCUUGGAUAAUAGACGUUACUCGCAGAAUAAGCACCGGCUAACUCUGUGCCAGCAGCCGCCGUAA
rnacentral:rRNA from 1 species